rnacentral:rRNA from 1 species
AUACGUAGGGUGCAAGCGUUAUCCGGAAUUAUUGGGCGUAAAGGGCUCGUAGGCGGUUCGUCGCGUCCGGUGUGAAAGUCCAUCGCUUAACGGUGGAUCCGCGCCGGGUACGGGCGGGCUUGAGUGCGGUAGGGGAGACUGGAAUUCCCGGUGUAACGGUGGAAUGUGUAGAUAUCGGGAAGAACACCAAUGGCGAAGGCAGGUCUCUGGGCCGUUACUGACGCUGAGGAGCGAAAGCGUGGGGAGCGAACAGGAUUAGAUACCCUGGUAGUCCACGCCGUAAACGGUGGAUGCUGGAUGUGGGGCCCGUUCCACGGGUUCCGUGUCGGAGCUAACGCGUUAAGCAUCCCGCCUGGGGAGUACGGCCGCAAGGCUAAAACCCAAAGAAAUUGACGGGGGCCCGCACAAGCGGCGGAGCAUGCGGAUUAAUUCGAUGCAACGCGAAGAACCUUACCUGGGCUUGACAUGUUCCCGACGGUCGUAGAGAUACGGCUUCCCUUCGGGGCGGGUUCACAGGUGGUGCAUGGUCGUCGUCAGCUCGUGUCGUGAGAUGUUGGGUUAAGUCCCGCAACGAGCGCAACCCUCGCCCCGUGUUGCCAGCGGAUUAUGCCGGGAACUCACGGGGGACCGCCGGGGUUAACUCGGGGGAAGGUGGGGAUGACGUCAGAUCAUCAUGCCCCUUACGUCCAGGGCUUCACGCGUGCUACAAUGGCCGGUACAACGGGAUGCGACGCGGCGACGCGGAGCGGAUCCCUGAAAACCGGUCUCAGUUCGGAUCGCAGUCUGCAACUCGACUGCGUGAAGGCGGAGUCGCUAGUAAUCGCGAAUCAGCAACGUCGCGGUGAAUGCGUUCCCGGGCCUUGUACACACCGCCCGUCAAGUCAUGAAAGUGGGCAGCACCCGAAGCCGGUGGCCUAACCCCUUGUGGGAUGGAGCCGUCUAAGGUGAGGCUCGUGAUUGGGACU